UCUCAGAUCUACCAUUCAGAAAAGUGUGCUGCACUCAGCAUGUCUGUGACGAAUGCUGAAGGACUUCAUUUACUGUAAUGUGCGACGGUUUAAGGACGUCACGGGAUGAUGUUGAAUCGUAUGUAGUAUGAAGUGUACUCUGCUGUUGAAUCAGCCAACAGAGAUGUGAGUGUCUGGAGUGUUUCUGCAUGGCAGCAGCUGGAAGACAGAGGCAAAACAGUACACAGACCUGAGACCAGCUGGGGAGUCCAGCAGCCUUGUAUGGUGAGUCACUGCCAUGUACACCAGUCUACCCACUGGACUUCUGCUGACCAUUAUAUUUACCUGAUUCAGUUGGAUGUGUGCAUCAUCUCUAAAGAAAGACC
rnacentral:lncRNA from 1 species